AACGGCCAUAUCACGUCGAAACACCGGUUCUCGUACGAUCACCGAAGUUAAGCAACGUCGAGAGCGCUCACUAUCUAGAUAGGUGACCACUACAGAAUACGAGGUACUGUAAG